UACGUAGGGUGCAAGCGUUGUCGUGAAUUAUUGGGCGUAAAGAGCUCGUAGGCGGUUUGUCGCGUCUGCUGUGAAAACUGGGGGCUCAACCCCCAGCCUGCAGUGGGUACGGGCAGACUAGAGUGCGGUAGGGGAGAUUGGAAUUCCUGGUGUAGCGGUGGAAUGCGCAGAUAUCAGGAGGAACACCGAUGGCGAAGGCAGAUCUCUGGGCCGUAACUGACGCUGAGGAGCGAAAGCAUGGGGAGCGAACAGG
rnacentral:rRNA from 1 species